UUCCCGAGGAACAGGCUCUGUGGGCUGGGCAUCCGUGACCGCCCCCCGGGGAGGCUGCCCUGUGCCCGUUCAUGUCCAGUCACCCAGGACGGAGGAGCAGGCUGGGAGGGACAGGGCAGGCCCGCCCUCGUCGAGCACAAGAGCCACCCGCUGAAGUCAACACUGCUGUCCGCCGCACCCGACAGACGAGAACACAGAGUGCAGCGCCUUGCCCUUGAUCCAACACUGAGAUGUGGUCGUGGGAGUGGUUGCCUGGCACUGACAAGGGAAUGUUUUCAGGCUUUUUCCUUCCUGACGCUGGACCAAACCUGAACAUGCUGGCACAGGUAGCGAGAGAUUCCUACUGGAUUAACACCUCCAGCCCAAAAUUCAGUCCUCAACACUGUACUCUGGCAAGAACCGUCUCCUCGUCACCCCCACUUGAGCACUGAGUUGGCACCUCAAAUUUAACACACCCAAAGCUGAUCUCCUGGCUUUCCCCCCAAAUACACUCCACCCUUACUCAGUGGCAGCGUACU